CAUACCGACUGAUGUUAGCCAUUUAAAUAACAACUGCUCUCGCGUUUGCUUUAAGGCGGUUUAAUUUUUCUCUCUCACAACUGGACAGAGACACACGAACUCGGUAAAACCCCAAAGCGUUAUCGAUUUACAGCUCUGCUUUCUCACAGCUGCUGAAAGCACAGGCUUUUUUUAAUUCGGCCUGGUCCGACCCGGGGCGGGGAGGGGGGGGGACGGAGGACGGGGAGUCUCCAGGAGAUUCACUCACCUCAGGGGGAGGGGAGAGGAGCUGCCUGAGGCGCCCGGCAAGUCCGCGGUCACAGCCCCCGUCCCGACUCCAGGCACACGGCGAACGCCGGUUUUGCCUCACCCCACCACCCCGCGUUCCCCUUCCCGCGGCCGUUCCUCCUGCGAGGGGCGCAGCCCGCCCGCCUCAAGCGCCUCACUCCGGCCGCAGGACGGCGAGAGCCAAGGGGGAGCGCCGCUCCGCCCGCCUCACAGCCGGCGAGAGCCAUGCGAACAAACCCACAUUCUCUGUCAUCUCUGAGAUGCCAUCUUACUCCCUACUGUAUAACAUAAACCCGUUGUAAUACUCUUUGUCCUUUGCUGCUUCCAGUCUCAAGCCAAAUCAGAUCCAUAUCUCAGUACUCAGUUCUUCAGUGCUGACACCCCAGGCAGGUCAAAUCCAACACCACGAGCUUUACACAUCUGGAGGAGAACAUGAUAGUAGAUGCCUGAAAGGCUGGAGUGC